rnacentral:rRNA from 1 species
CCCGCACAAGCGGUGGAGUAUGUGGUUUAAUUCGAUGCAACGCGAAGAACCUUACCUGGUCUUGACAUCCCGGAGACCCUUAGGAAACUAGGGGGUGCUUCCAUCUGGAAGAAUCUGGAGACAGGUGCUGCAUGGCUGUCGUCAGCUCGUGUCGUGAGAUGUUGGAUUAAGUCCCGCAACGAGCGCAACCCUUGCCUUUAGUUGCCAGCAGUUCGGCUGGGCACUCUAAAGGGACUGCCGGUGUUAAACCGGAGGAAGGUGGGGAUGACGUCAAGUCCUCAUGGCCUUUAUGACCAGGGCUACACACGUACUACAAUGGCCGAUACAAAGGGCAGCGACACUGCGAGGUGAAGCCAAUCCCGUAAAAUCGGUCUCAGUCCGGAUUGGAGUCUGCAACUCGACUCCAUGAAGUUGGAAUCGCUAGUAAUCGUGGAUCAGCAUGCCACGGUGAAUACGUUCCCGGGCCUU